CCCCGUGCAGAAGCGGCCGCACGUGUUGAACGUCUUGGCGGGUCGGGAAAAGACGGGGAGCUCGCGUCUGCGCAGGGCUGGCCAGGAGCUGUAUUCGAAAAGGCCACCAAGGGGUAUUUUGGGGACACGGUGCAGCCGGGCUCGGUUCAGCCCGUGGAGAGUCUGCUCCGCUGAACGCUUGCGUAACCAAGCGACCUUUGGCCAAAAGCGCGAAGGAGCCAGCUCGUUCCUCCCUGCUUCCCUUCCCCGGCUCCCUGGCGUUCUCAGCGUGCGUGGCGCAGCGGGGACGAGCGGUUUAUAGCAGCAUUUUGUUUAUGGACAAGGUAAACAGUAGAUCUGGUGGAGGUAUUUGCGAGCAAGGCGCUGGCUUCAUCAUCCAGCGGGAAGAGCCAGUGAAAAGCAAGUUGGGCUUCGGCCACUUGGAUCGGACGGUCCAGCUGGCAAGUGGUGCGAGCUUGUCUCUUCCAGGGGUUGCAGAUGUGUGCUGGACACUGUGGGAAUGCGAUUUUACAACAGUAAUUAGUUUAUUCCUGAGAGCAGCGGGCUGGAACUGGCAGCUAAGGCCUGCAAUCAUUAACUGGGAAAGCGUUCGCAAGGAGAAAAGCUGCCUCUCACGCUGGGCUUUGCUGCAUAGUCCCAGCCCUUCUGUCCUGCUUUCUUCUUUAUCUCUGAUUAACCAGCUCAUCCCCUCUUGCUGAUCACCCUUUUAUCUGCGAAGGGAGCUUUGAACCUUGGAAUUAAAUUCCCCCUGGAGCCCCGACGACGGGGCAGGUUUUGGUUCAUUUCACUCUCCGGAAAAAUGGGAAAGGGCUGAUGGGAACUGAAACACCUUCCAAGGGGCGGCCUGGGGUCAACGUGGAGGGAGUGACCUCGACACCCGGGGAAGCGAUCCACAAGCUGCCCACUGACGCUGAGGACCGGAGUCACCUCCCUGGCUCCAAGAGCAGCUCUGGAUCUGUGCCCAGGUGGCCAGGGAAGGACCAUCCCAUUGCAUCCCAGACAGCGGGGCUGCGGCAGACUCCGGCCGUCCAGCCACUCCUCGCCCGCUGUGCUCCCCGCACCGCACGUGCUGGGGAUUUGCUUAGGGGCUAGGGGAACCCCUCCACGUCGGGACCUGGGUGUCCCCACUCUUGGGACGCAGUCAGGAGCACAGGGUGCUCCUUGGAGGAACUGGAAACAGCAUGCCCUGUGCCUGGAGGGGACACGUCCUGCCCGGAGCACGGAGCAGCGCCUCUCCUGUUGGACAGUAACAGACUGUUUUGUCCCUUUUCCCUUCGGGGAGGAACUGAAGAACCGCUUUCCAGCAGCUCUGGUUGCAUUGCCCAGCUGCUGCCGGGGCACAGGACCAAGGCUGGAUGGAGGAGCAGCCGACGCCUGUCCCGGGGCUGCUGCUGCUCUGUGCACGGAGACAGGCGCCACUGGGUCUCUGCAGCCUGCGGUCCAGCGGCUCCAGCUCACCUUUAUAUCCACAGCCUUUCCCUUUGCUCUCCCGCUCGAGUUGGGCUACAGCAGUUCAUACUUUGCUCCCCAUCACUCUCCUCCUCCCCCAGGGGGUCACUGAUGUCUGAACUCGUAGUGAGGAAUCGUGCACGGUCCCAUCCGCAUGGAGAGCAGGAGCCUGGUGCUGCUCGAGCUGCUCUGAGUCUCACCAAACAGCAUCCAUGCGGGAUGUCCCAUCCCAUCUGCCUGCACAAACCCUUUCUUGUCCCUCUCCCCUUCACCAUGCCCGUGCUGCUCUGGUUUCUGGGGGGCAGCACCCAGGAGAAGGGCACCGGCCUUGACUUUUCCAGGACGCUUGAUCCCCACUGCAAAUGCCACUUCAAGUCUGUGCAUGACUGAAAUUCAUCCUUCGCUGUGUCAGUGCAGUGACUGCAGCCGGGAGGAAGGGAGGGGACCCCUGGGCAGUGCACACCAGUUCACCCGGCCGGGCAGCUGGAUUAGGCAGAAACCUCUCUCAUAACCGCGGCCGAUGGGCAGGGUGAAACAGGAACUGCGACUUCCCAGACAGGGUUAUUUUGGUAGCUGUGUGUAAACCCCCCAUUGGAAAAUGUGACACGGUUCUUAUCCCCUUGUAUUUGCUCACAAAACACUAAUUAAGGCAUGUAAUGAAGACAGGAGCAUCCAUUAAUAAAGAAUCAUUAUGGGA